CUGGCGUUGUUAGCCCCUGUUCAAACCUUCCACUUACGUCGACUCAGGCACUGCGCGUGUCCUUCUCUUGAUUAGGUGCGAACUUGUAUUAACCCCCCUUUUACCCCCUUUCAUUAAAAUUGUCCUGAAACGUUUUUGAUUCCUGGACUGCAUGCAGUAUGCCUACGGGCCAUCGGCUGUACGUUCAAGGGCAAAGGCACCAUACGAAACAUAAACAACUCUUAACAACGGAUAUCUUGGUUCCCGUAACGAUGAAGAACGCAGCGAAAUGCGAUACGUAAUGCGAAUUGCAGAACUCAGUGAAUCAUCAAAUCUUUGAACGCAAAUUGCGCUCACGGGAUAGGCCUGUGAGCACGCCUCUUUGAGUAUCGGUUCCAAACAAACUCCACUGCGUUAUGCAUUUGCAUAUUCGGUAAUGGGACAUUGGGUGUUUCUGGACUUCAGUCUGGAAUCGCCUUAAGAAUCAACUCUCCGCACGAACUGUCAGUCGUGGUUGCUCUGCACAAAGUUACUUUCGCCUCGGCGAUUAAUCUUGUGUUCGAUUAAACCACUCCAAGUACUGUCGGUUGGGCUCUAUGGGAGAAACAAACCAUGGUCUCCGC
rnacentral:sRNA from 1 species